UACGAAGGGACCUAGCGUAGUUCGGAAUUACUGGGCGUAAAGCGCGCGUAGGUGGUUUGAUAAGCUAGCUGUGAAAGCCCCGAGCUCAACCUGGGAACUGCAUCCGAUACUGGAUAACUAGAAUGCGGGAGAGGGAGGUAGAAUUCCAUGUGUAGCAGUGAAAUGCGUAGAUAUAUGGAGGAAUACCAGUGGCGAAGGCGGCCUCCUGGCUCGACAUUGACGCUGAGGUGCGAAAGCGUGGGGAGCAAACGGG
rnacentral:rRNA from 1 species